rnacentral:rRNA from 1 species
AUUGAACGCUGGCGGCAGGCCUAACACAUGCAAGUCGAGCGGAGCGGCGGACGGGUGAGUAAUGCCUAGGAAUCUGCCUGGUAGUGGGGGAUAACGUCCGGAAACGGGCGCUUAUACCGCAUACUAUCAGAUCAGCCUCGGGCGGAUUAGCUAGUUGUUGGGGUAAUGGCCUACCAAGGCAACGAUACGUAACUGGUCUGAGAGGAUGAUCAGUCACACUGGAACUGAGACACGGUCCAGACUCCUACGGGAGGCAGCAGUGGGGAAUAUUGGGCAAUGGGCGAAAGCCUGAUCCAGCCAUGCCGCGUGUGUGAAGAAGGUCUUCGGAUUGUAAAGCACUUUAAGUUGGGAGGCGUUACCAACAGAAUAAGCACCGGCUAACUUCGUGCCAGCAGCCGCGGUAAUAC